UGGGGAAUCUUGCGCAAUGGGGGAAACCCUGACGCAGCAACGCCGCGUGGGUGAUGAAGGCCUUCGGGUCGUAAAGCCCUGUCAGGUGGGAAGAAACUUGUGGAUGUUAAUACCGUCCACACUUGACGAUACCACCGGAGGAAGCACCGGCUAACUCCGUGCCAGCAGCCGCGGUAAUACGGAGGGUGCAAGCGUUGUUCGGAAUUAUUGGGCGUAAAGCGCGUGUAGGUGGUCAGGUAAGUCAGAUGUGAAAGCCUUCUGCUUAACAGAAGAAGUGCAUUUGAAACUGCUUGGCUAGAGUACGGGAGAGGAGAGUGGAAUUCCCGGUGUAGAGGUGAAAUUCGUAGAUAUCGGGAGGAACACCAGUGGCGAAGGCGGCUCUUUGGUCCGAUACUGACGCUGAGACGCGAAAGCGUGGGGAGCAAACAGGAUUAGAUACCCUGGUAGUCCACGCCGUAAACGAUGGGCACUAGGUGUAGGAGGUAUUGACCCCUUCUGUGCCGAAGCUAACGCAUUAAGUGCCCCGCCUGGGGAGUACGGCCGCAAGGCUA
rnacentral:rRNA from 1 species